rnacentral:lncRNA from 1 species
GUUCUGGGGGCUCUCCAGCCAAUAUGUCCUUGCCCUUUGGUGGCCACUGGGACACAGGGCUUGGGAGCCCUAGGGGAGGGGCAAGGAGGCCUCCCCUGAUACUCCAGGGUCUCUCCAGGGAGGGCUUCCUGGAGGAGAGGGUGGGAGGGACUGGGGCUCCCUUUUUCCUGCCUCUUGGUGGAGCCAGGCUGAAAACCAAACCCAGAGAGGGCCCCAGGAGGGUGCUGGGGACACAGUGACAAACAAGACAGCCACAGCCAGGCCCACACAGGGCAGUCCUACAGCAGAGACGGUAGCUGCACAAAUCAUGAUGAAUAAGGCAUUAAAGAAUGACAAGGGGGUAGCGGGCAGGGAGCACUGGUCCCCUGGGCCUGGCCUCCGCAGAGGUCGCAGAAGACCUCCCUGAAGAGGGUGCCUGAGGACCAGGGUGGCUGACGAGGGGAGGAGAGACUGGUGGAGGCAAGAGGGACAGGGGUGGUCUGGAUGGGGACCCCCAGCCACAGACCUAAGAGCUUGAGAGGGGAUCACUAUGGCCAGUGGCAGGGAGGGGGUCAUUUGGCCUGAGACCAGCCCUUGUCUUGUGGUGGCUGGAAGCUUAGGAAAGGUUUUAUAGAGAAAAGAGACUAGAUUGCCAAAGCUUACUCAGAAUGGUAGGGACAAGAGUGGACACAGAAGCCGGUUGGGAGUGUGGCACUGAGAUCCAGGGGAGAUGGUGGCAGCUGGCUGAGACAGUGUGGGAGGUACAGGGGACAGGGCAUGGUGUGAGGGUGAAGGAGGCGAAGGAGGGGCUGGGGAGGCUCCUUGGGCCCUGGCAUGUGCAGUGGGUGGACACUGGUGCUGUCCCCGAGGCAGAGGACAGCAUGGGGGAGCAGGUUCAUGGGAGGCCAGGCAUUUGUUUUGAGACAUGGUGGGGGCAGCCAGGAACGGUGUGCCAGGGGGAGGAACAGCUUGAGCAAAGGUGCAGAGAGGAGACAGGCAAAGAGAACCACAUGUGACAUGGUGGGACAUGCCGGAAUCUUCCAGAGAGGUGGGCCACAUGUGACAUGGUGGGACAUGCCGGAAUCUUCCAGAGAGGUGGGCCUCUGAUGCAAGCAGACGGGUCUGCCCUGGAUCUGCAGGCAGUGGACAGCUAUGGGCAUGUGGGAGCGGGAGAGGGGAAGGGAGCUUCCAGCUCUAGACACAGUGAGGGUGCCCAGCAGCCAGGGACCCAGGCUGGUGGUGGGGGAGUGUCACUGGGGCAGGUGUCAGGGCCUUAGCUCUGGGACAGCAUGUGUGUGUGUUAGAAUGAGUGUAAAAGUAUGAGAGGGAGUGCGAGAGUGUGUGUGUAUGAGUGUGUAUAUGAAUGUGAGUGUGUGAGUAUUCGUGUGUGUGUAUAUGAGUGUGUGAGUGUAUAUGUGUGAGUGUGAGUGUAUAUGUGUGUGAGUGUGAAUGUGUGUGAGAGUGUAUAUGUGAGUGUGCGUGUGUGAGUGAGUGUAUAAGUGAGUGUGAGUGUGUGUGAGACUGUCCCUUGCACUAAGUGCCCUGCCCUCCACUUGAGGCACAACCCAUGGGACACCUCCAACCUCUCCAGGACCAGGGAAUGGCCCAGCCAGGCCAGACUAGGAAAUGAUGGAUGGAGGAGGGCCUGGGCUGCUCCUCUGAAAAUCCACCCCCAGCCCUGGUCACUCUGGAACCCUGGAGCAGCAUCUGAGCCCCUCCUCAAGGAGCCCAGUGGCUGGAGGGCAGCGUCCAGGGCCACCUGCCUACCUCUUACUCAGGACCUGGUCUGUCCUCUCCCAGGAUGGAGCUUGGGGUUCCUGAGCUUGGAGCUGCCUGUAAUACCAGGCCCAGUGGCUCAGCCAAGGUCAGGUUCCAGACAGUGGCUGGGGUAGUGGCAGGAGAAUGAAGGUCUAGACAAUCACAGAGACUCUGGGAGGCCCAGAGAAAGUGGAAGCCAGAGAGGAACCCAAAGUCCCAGAAACUGCAAAGAAUGCCAGGGAGAGGAGGAGAGAGAAAAAGGCCACGUAGCAGCCCUGAGCCCGAGAACAUGUGCCACAUUUUCUCUGUCUGUGGGUCUGUUGAGUUUGGCCCAAAUGGCUCUGAGCUGACUCUGCAGCCACAAAAACUUAGGGCCUUGAAGGUCCCAUCCAACGCAUGAAGGACUCUCCCUGGGAUGGAAGCAAAGAGGGAAAAAGGAUUACAGGCACAUGCCUAUAAUCCCAGCUACUUGGGAGGCUGAGGCAGGAGAAUCACUUUAACCUGGAAGGCAGCGGUUGCGGUGAGCUGAGAUCACGCCAUUGCACUCAAUCCACCACACCCGGCCAAUUUUGUAUUUUUGGUAGAGACUUGGUUUCUCCAUGUUGGUCAGGCUGGUCUCGAACUCCCGACCUUAGGUGAUUCGCCUGCCUCAGCCUCCCAAAGUGCUGGGAUUACAGGCAUGAGCCACCGCACCCAGCCGAUUUUUUGUAUUUUUAUUAGAGACAGGGUUUCGCUGUGUUGUCCAGGCUGGUCUCAAACUCCUGGCAUCAGGUGAUCCACCCGUCUCAGCCUUCCAAAGUACUGGGAUUGCAGGCAUGAGCCACCGCGCCUGGCCCAGGCAGUGUUCUUUUCCCUAUUUUGCAGAUGAGAAGACCAAGGCUGAGAGAAAUUUGUAGUCGGCCCAGAGCUAUAUAUACAGCAGGAAGCUGCGGGAAUUGCGAUUCAAACUUUCAGGCCUGCUGUCUCCCUGGGAAUUCUGUUCUCACUGCCUCCAUAUAAAGAAAUACACGUGCAGGAGGCAGCCCAGAGCACCCUCCUCUCCCUCCCAAAAACCCACACAGUGAUCCUGGCCAGGCCCCCUGGGCCCAGGAGGAGCCGUGUCCCCAUUAGGCAUCUCUGAGCUGUGCUUUCACAUUGGGGUCCCCCCCACCAGGGCUGGUGGAACACAAAGGGGGGUGGCCAAGGCAGAGAAAGAGCCCGACAGGCCAGGAGCCGGCUUUUCUCCCUGCUUUCUUCCUCCCUUGCUUCUUUGUUAAGCUCCCUUUCAGCUGAACCGGCAGAGCCUGGGUGUUCCGAGCUGACAAUAAUUGCUGCGUCUAGACAGUGUCUGGUAUGAGGCCUCCCUCUCCGCGCCUCACCGGCCUCCCCGAGGCUCCUAUUCCCAGCCCCGCUGGCCCCUGCUCUGCGCCCUCUGUUUCCCACACCCCUGCCCCUAUCUGGCUGCCCAGGGUGCCCUGUCCUGCCUCCCUGCUGCUCUAGGCCUCCCUCGAGUUUUCAAUCCUUGCAUCUCUUCCUCCCUCCCCAGCCGCACCCCAGGCGCUGGCCCCAUUCCCUCCCACGGCCUGAAAUUCAGGGAACAAAGGUGGUUUUGCAUCUGGCUGUGGCUGGGAGACCUUCGAAGGAGACUGAGCCAGGCAAACCCUCCCCUCCUGGCUCUUGGCCCCCUAGGAGCCAGAGACUCACAUUGCUGGCUUCUGAGCUGAGCUGGGAAGUUCUGGGAUUGAUGCUUGAGACACCCUUAAGGCUCCUUCCCUCGUCUUCCUAUCCGGCCUGGAUGGGAACCCAGAGAAAUCAACGCAGGAAAGACUUAGGAUAGAUACAAGGAAGAACUUCCUGGUGACUCUGACCGGCAGACAUGGAUGGGAUGGUUUCAAGAGCUUCAGGGGACAGGAAUUCAGUCUUCACAAGGUCUAAGAGUUCCUCCUGCCAGGCUCAGAUCUGCAGCUCUGGAAGAUUCCCCAGAAGCCAGAGUCUCCUCACUGGUAUCAGAUGCUCAGGGUGACCCCGAGAUAAUAACAACCACAGCCAGCAUUUGCCCAGCCCUUGCACCAAGUGCUGUGCAAACUCUGCAUGCAUAUCAAUUGUUAUAAUCCUCUCCAGGGCCCUGAGAAACAGAGAAAAUGAGCUUAUGAUUAGUUCCAUUUUACAGAUGAGGAAACUGAGGCACAGAGGGGUUAAGUAACUUGCCCAAAGUCACCCAGCCAGGAGAGGAGAAGCCAAGAUUUGAAGCCACAGAGGUUGGCUCCAGAGCCCCAAUAACGACCAAUGAUAGGAACACGAAAUGCUUAAAAUCAUCUACCCGGGACUGGGAUGAGCCCUUGGCGUCUGGUGUUUCCUUGCAUCUCACAGGCUGUUAAGAUCCAGGGUUAUGCCCACUAUCUAGAUGAAAAGAGAAGAGCUUGGGGCUGCAGGCUGUGACCAGAUGGUGACCUAACUCCAUGUCAGAAAGGCCGAGCCAUCCAGGCUACUGGGCUGCAAGUAAAAGGCUCACUGUGGAGCGGGAGCUCAAUACAUGAGACCAUGGCCUAGAGGAGACUGGCAAAGCAGCCAGCUUCAAUCUGGAGGAGGAAUUGUGAUGAUGCAAGGGAUAUGGGACCUCUGGGAGCCAACAGGAGGGACCCUAAAUCCAAGAAGGCUUCCUGGAGGAGGUGGAAUCAACAUGGCUUCCUGACAGAUGAGUAAAAGUUAGGCGGGCCAAGAGGGGAGGGAAAAGUGCUCCAGGAAGAGGAAAUCUACACAUAAGAAGGUCUCAAAGUGGGAGAACAGGGUAAUCUAGAAGAACUAGAGAAACUUAAGCAGCUGUGUCAGGUCAAACAGUGGGUGGGAAUCACGAGGCUGGAGCCCAGCUGAUCAGGAAGGCCGUCGAGUGCCAGGUUGAGAGCUGGGACUUAUCCCCAGGCAGGGAGGCCUAUUGGGAGACUGCUCUGAGAGUCCAGGCAAGUGGGGCUGUGUUGACUGUGAGGAUGUGGAAUGGAGUGGGGCUGGAGGACUGGAGAGGCCCUCAAGAGUUGUAGAAAGAGGGUCUCCUCUGAUGUGGAGCUGGCCUGCAAGUGUGAUGCUGUUCCAGACAGAGAGAACAGCAUGGACAAAGGCUUUCUUUUUUUUUUUUUUUUUUUUCAGACGGAGUCUCACUCUGUCACCAGGCUGGAGUACAGUGGUGUGAUCUCGGCUCACUGCAACCUCCGCCUCCCAGGUUCAAGCGAUUCUCCUGCCUCAGCCUCUCAAGUAGCUGAGAUUACAGACGUGUGUCACCAUGCCCUGUUAAUUUUUGUUUGUUUGUUUUGUUUUUUGUUUUGUUUUGUUUCGUUUUUUGUUUUUUUUUUUUGAGACGGAGUCUUGCUCUGUCGCCCAGGCUGGAGUGCAGUGGCCCCGAUCUCGGCUCACCGCAAGCUCCGCCUCGCGGGUUCAUGCCAUUCUCCGGCCUCAGCCUCCCGAGUAGCUGGGACUACAGGCAUCCGCCACCACACCCAGCUAAUUUUUUGUAUUUUUUUUAGUAGAGACGGGGUUUCACUGUGUUAGCCAGGAUGGUCUCGAUCCCCUGACCUUGUGAUCCACCCAAGGCCUCGGCCUCCCAAAGUGCUGGGAUUACAGGCAUGAGCCACCGUGCCCGGUCAAUUUUUAUAUUUUUUGUAGAGACAGGGUUUCACCAUGUUGGCCAGGCUGGUGUCGAACUCCCGACCUCAGGUGAUUGUCGGCCUUGGCCUCCCAAAGUGCUGGGAUUACAGGCGUGAGCCACCGCGCCCAGCCGGUGGGCAGCCAGUUGUGUUCCGGGAGGAGGAGGACACCCUGGAAAGACAGUGGGGCCAGACACUGAACUGCCUUUGGAAGCAAGUAGGAGCAACAGCGAAGGUUUGCUGGCUCAGGUAGGAGGAUUAAUUGGAACGAUUAAGCUGGAAGCUCUGUAAGACGGAUUAGAGGGGCAAACUUGGAGGCAGGAAGGCUGGGAGGAGACCACUGCUGAGUGAUUUUUCUUCCCCCACAGGUUCCCAGUCCCUGAUUUCUGGCCACUCCGCCUUUCUGUGAGUCAUUUUGUUUUUGUUUUUCAGAAGCAAGGUCUCGCUGUGUUACCCUGGCUGGAGUGCAGUGGCUACUUACAGGCAUGAUCAUAGCAUACUGCAGCCUCGAACUCCUGGACUAGAGCAGUUCUCCUGCCUCAGCCUCCAGAGCAGCUGGGACUGCAGACACGCACCACAGAGCCCAGCCUGAGUCAUUUUGAUUCUGUAACUGGCUUCCUCUCGGCGGGCAGGCUCACACCCUCCACCCCCAGCUGGAGAUGGAAGGAGGAUGCUCACCGCCCAUUCCUCAUGCAGGCCAUCGAUGGAAAUGUCAGACAGUGCGAGUCCACGCCUGAACACUUCUGGGGUCCGCUCUGGGACUGACACUGGCAGAUCCAUCGGUGAGCUCCCGCCUGCCACCUCUGGGCCUGCAUUGCGGUGAUAGGGCCAAGGGCCUGGGCCUUCAAUUCUCCAGACUUGCCAAAAUGCUCAGCGCAGGCCUCGUCGGCAACUGCAGACAAGCAGAGGCAGCACCUGGGCUCUGCCUGUGCCUGGCACAGUGAAGCGAGGGUGGGGGCAGGAAUGAGGGUCCUCUCCAUGCAAGGGGGGAAGAUAGAAGAACAAAAUUUCACCCUAAUGUAGUGUCUUUAGACCGUGCAAUGUUGUGCUCCUGUUAGUCUGAUAUCAGGGGCUUGCAGCCUGGCAAAGGAAAAAAAACAGGCUGAGGCACAUGAUAGAAGACAGGCAGGGAUGCCACAAUCAUAACCAUGGCAAAGACCAGGAUCAGAAAGGCCCACCAUCUCUGACCCCAAAUCCCUGGGCAGAUGGUUCCAGAACUCAGAAUUUUCCCAGUUGUAGAAAGAUGGGGCCAGGUGCAGUGGCUCACGCCUGUAAUCCCAGCAUUUUGGGAGUACAAGGUGGGCGGAUCACCUGAGGUCAGGAGUUCGAGACCAGCCUGGCCAACAUGGUGAAACCCUGUCUCUACUAAAAAAAAAAAAAAAAAUUAGCCGGGCGUGGCGAUGCAUGCCUGUAAUCCCAGCUACUCGGGAGGCUGAGCCAGGAGAAUUGCUUGAACCCGGGAGGCGGAGGUUGCAGUGAGCCAAGAUCGCGCCACUACACUCCAGUCCGGGCGACAGAGCAAGAGUCCAUUCCCCCACCACCAAAAAAAAAAAAAAAAGAAAGAAAGAUGAUGUGAUACAUAUCACAUAUUUCCUAACACCCCCAACCAAACACAUUUAUGCAUAUGCAUAAAGCAGACGAGGAAAGAUUCUAAAUAGGCUCUGAAUCUCAGUUUUCUCAUCUCUACAAUGGGGCAGUGAUGGCAUGCACCUCCCAGGGCUGUUCUGAGAAUCUGAUGCCUCCCAUUGCACUGGUGAGCCUGGCACAGGCACAGGUCCCACCCCAGGCCCUUUGAACUGGCUGUUCCUUUGGCCUGGAACAUUCCUCCCCAGAUACCUCCUGAGAGGGCUCCCUCACUUCCUUCAAGGCACUGCUCAAAUGCUACCUCUUCACAGAGGCUUUCCCUGACCACCCCGUCUCUUUCCUCUUCCUGCAUAGCCUCUGUCACCUGACAUUUUAUGUCAUAAAUUACUCAUUUAUUAAUUUCCUGCUCUCCCACAGUGGCACCCGAGCUCUGUGAGGGCAAGACUUUGUUCGGUUGUGGGCUAUGCCCCCAACCCCUCGGACAGUGCCUGCACAGGUGGACAUUUUUGUUGGAUGAAGGAUUUUCUGUUAAAUGUGUCUGGCACACACAGAAAAACAAAGCCCAGCAGGUACGAUGGUGAUUAUUAUUGUUACUGGUGGCGCUCUAUUAUUGUUAUUAGUGUCUGUUGAAAAAGACCCUGAGCUAUACCAGCCCUUGGUUCUCCAGCCUGUGAAAUGGGCAUCCUGGGCACUGAGGCACUAGCCUUGGGAAGCUGAUAGGGGGUCCCUGCAGGAGAGACAAAGAACACUGCCCACCCCCCCGGGGGAGCCUGCGCCCCUCACCGGAAAGAGAAGCAGGGGGGAGCAGAGGGAGCUUGCAGCCCCACACGCAGGGCUGCCAGAAGGCCAUACAUAAUUCAUUGCCAAAUGGGGCUGCGGGCGGCUCUCCGCGGCGUGCGCUGGGGGCUCACUCUGCGCCUGGCACUUCGCUGACUGCGCCUCACACGUUGCCUCAUUGCAUCUUCAUGGAUUUGCAGGGUGUGACCCUUCCCCCUGUUUUACCCAGGGGGAUCCUGAGGCUCAGAGGAUGGGGCCACCGUGCUAGUCACACAGCCUCUCUGUGGCCAAGCUGGGCCUCGGGCCAGCAGAUUCGGCCCCCAGCGGCCCCCAUUCACUGCCUCUCUGCUGAGGGAAAAGACGGGCCUGGGGAGCGGGUGGGAGGCACAAAGGAGACCCCGCUCUGAGACAGGCUGCAGAAGAGGGAGCUGGGUCUCAGCAGGGCUGGGGAAGGCUCUGGCCCCAGCCCUCCGCCCAACCCCCUGCCCUCCUCUCCUGGAGGAGAUGCUCCCCAAAUUAGCCAUCAUGAGCGCUGGCUCUGGGGGUUGGGCGUUGGGGAGCAGUUUGCUCAGCUGUAAAAUGGGAAUAACAGAAGCCGUCCCUGGGACUAUGAGAUCAAGGUGCUCAAGAAAAGUGGUGUCUGCUGAGGGGAAAAGCCAGUCCCAAAAGGUUGCAUACUCUCAUUCUGUUUAUUUGUUUUUGUUUUUGAGACAGGGUCUCGCCCUGUCACCCAGGCUGGAGUACAGUGGCGCAAUAUGGGCUCACUGCAACCUCCACCUCCUGGGCUCAAGUGAUCCUCCCAUCUCAGACCCUCAAGGAGCUGGGGCUACAGGCACGUGCCACCGUGUCCGGCUAAUUUUUGUAUUUUUUGUAGAGACAGGGUUUCACCAUGUUGCCCAGGCUGGUCUCAAACUCCUGAGCUCAGGUGAUCCGCCUGCCUUGGCCUGCGAUAAAAUUGCACAGAAGUAAAUACACACACGUGAGGAUACGGAAAACCGGGGAAACCUGAGCAAGAGCAGUCAGACCCCGGCUGUGAUGGCGCCCAGUAGUUCUGCGAGAUGUUACCAUUGGGGAAACUGAGUGAAGGCGGGUACCUGGGAUCCCUCUGUUUUCUUUUUUGUUGUUGUUGUUAUUUUGAGAUGAAGUUUCCCUCUUGUUGCCCAGGCUGGGUGAUCCACCUGCCUCGGCCUCCCAAAGUGCUGGGAUUACACGCGUGAGCCACUGUGCCCAGCCUCUCUGUUUUAUUUCUUCUUUUUUUUUUUUUUUUUUUGGAGACGCUCUGUCGCCCAGGCUGGAGUGCAGUGGCACGAUAUUGGCUCACUGCAAGCUCCGCCUCCUGGGUUCACACCAUUCUCCUGCCUCAGCCUCCCGAGUAGCUGGGACUACAGGCGCCCGCCACCUCGCCCGUCUAAUUUUUUGUAUUUUUAGUAGAGGCGGGGCUUCACCGUGUUAGCCAGGAUGGUCUCAAUCUCCUGACCUCGUCAUCCGCCCGUCUCGGCCUCCCAUAGUGCUGGGAUUACAGGCAUGAGCCACCACGCCCGGCUGUUUUAUUUCUUAUAACUGUACAGGAAUCUACAAUGAUUGUAACAAAAAUUUCAAUUAAGGCCACUCUAGGCACAUGGCCUGUGGGGUAGCCCUGCUCAACAAGAAGCCGUCAAAAAAAUGUUUUUUAAUUAAAAAAUUUCUUCAAUUAAAAAGCGUUAUCUUCCUCUGCCCGGAAAGGGUUAAGUGAGUCACUGCAGUUAGCUCCCCUUCCCCCACAACCACCUAGACCAGGCCAGGGACCAGCGGGCAAUUGCCUGGCAGCUGGAGUUUUCCUCCACUGUGGACUGUACUUCUUGCGUCACUCUGAAUGUCUCCAGUCUUUAUUCCAGAAUGUUCUGGUCCUCUCCCACUUUUCCAAGGACAGGAAUUCCCUAGUGGGGCUCCAGAAGAGGCUCUGGAGGAGAACAAGAAAGGCCCUUGUCAUCCAUUGGCCUCAGGCUGGGAAAUCUCGGUUCCACUCCCAGCCCAGCCUCAAUAUUAGGUUGUCAGUCUGGAGUCUGAGAGCCAUGCCCCCACCCCCUUAGUCCUUCACCUCCAGGAGAGUUGGGGAUACUGGAAAGAAUGUUGAGUGUCAGAGCCCCUCUCAGUGGCUCACGCCUGAAAUCCCAGCCCUUUGGGAGGCUGAGGCAGGUGGAUUGCUUGAGGCCAAGAGUUCAAGACCAGCCUGGCCAACGCGACGAAACCCUGACUCUACUAAAAAUACAAAAAUUAGCUGGGCGUGGUGGCACACACCUGUAAUCCCAGCAGCUCGGGAGGCUGAGGCAGGAGAAUUGUUUGAACCUGAGAGGUGGAGGUUGCAGUGAGCUGAGAUCACAACACUGCACUCAAAAAGUAGUUAAUUAAUUUAGUUUAAUUAAAAAAGAAUAUUGAGUGUCAGGCAAUCUGGGUAGAACCCAUUGUGUUUCUACAGGAUAGAAUCUGCUGUGUUCUCUAGCGGAACUUCCGGAUCACCUUCACCGUAUGACUCUAGACAAUCCCUGUCCACUCUUCAGUUUUAGAUGCCCCAUUCAAAGAAUGAAAGAAUUGUCCUAGAUGAUCCUUUAGGGUCUUCCAGGCUGAUGACAAGGGGGACCUGGCCCCUCUGCUGCUGGCCAAAGAGGACUUUACUUCCCAUUCCGUGUGGUUGAACAAGAAUUGCUGGGCUCCAGUCCUGCCUUUGGCCCUUCCCUACAUGUGACCUUGGGCCCUCUUUGCCUUUCAGAAUCAAUACAGUGAGAGAGUUAACACAAGCUCAGGUUAGUAAGUCAUUCAACAAACAUUUACUGAGCGCUUAUCAAAUACUGCAUGCUGGAGUGGACACUGGAGAAAAAGGUGAGGAGAAGGCCGGGCGCAGUGGCUCGUGACUGUAAUUCCAGCACUUUGAGGGGCAGAGGCAGGUGGAUUACCUGAGGUCAGGAGUUUGAGACCAGCCUGGCCAACAUGGCAAAACCCCGUCUCUACUAAAAAUACAAAUAUUAGCCAGGCAUGGUGGUGCAUAUCUGUAGUCCCAGCUACUCAGGAGGCUGAGCAGGAGAAUCACUUGAACUCAGGAGGUGGAGCGUGCAGUGGGCCGAGAUUGCACCUCUGCACUCCAGCCUGGGCAACAUAGUGAGACUCUGUCUCAAAUAAAUAAAUAAAGUGAGGAGAAAAAAAUACCAUCUCUGUCUUCACAGAACUUAUAGUUUGAGAGGGGAGAAUCCCACAAGUAAAUUAUAAAUCUCAGCUGAGAUUAUGCAAAGAAGCAAAGGCCGGACGUGGUGGCUCACGCCUGUAAUCCCAGCACUUUGGGAGGCCGAGACGGGCGGAUCAUGAGGUCAGGAGAUUGAGACCAUCCUGGCUAACACGGUGAAACCCUGUCUCUACUAAAAAUACAAAAAAAUUAGCUGGGCGUGGUGGCGGGCGUCUGUAGUUCCAGCUACUCGGGAGGCUGAGGCAGGAGGAUGGCGUGAACCCAGGAGCACAGGUUGCAGUGAGCCGAGAUGGCGCCACUGCACUCCAGCCUGGGCGACAGAGCGAGACUCUGUCUCAAAAAAAAAAAAAAAAAAGGAAGCAAAGUGCCCAGCUGGGAUGGUGGUUUCAGAGGCCACAGUGGGAGCUUCCCAGAGAAGGGAUGAUUGAGCUAAGUCUAAGCAAAAGGGGUGGUCAGGGCAGCAGCUGCUCCAAAACAGGGGCUGGGGGCUUAUGUGGAGAGAGAAGACAUGGAGAGACCAUGCCCAGAAGGAGGCGGCGGCUUCAGUGAACAGUGCAGGGGAGCAGGUCCGAGGAGGCCGCCUACCAGGGGAAGGAGUCUCAUCUCCAUCCUAGACAAAAAAAGGAUCUUUUGAGAUGCAUUAAGCAGGGGAGUCACAGAUUGGAUUUGUGUUUUGAGAAUCUCCUGCUUACCUAGAGAAGAAGGGCAUCUCCUGGGCCCUCACUGUUGCCUUAAAUGAUUUUUAUUGUGUAUUACUUAAACAUGUGCAAGCAUAAAAUGAGAUAUAAACUCCUUGUAGCUCUUAUACAAGCAUCAGACCAAGACAAAUUGACCCAUCACGUACAAAAUCGAUUCAAAUCAGAUUAAUUUUAUGUGACAUGUUAUUAUGCCUUUUGUCUGAAACCCUGCCACCACCCACAGUGCAAUUAUGGCCCAACCACUGUGGUGUUCUGAAUUUGUGGGACAGAGAAUAUUGGCCUUUUAAACACGUGCAUGCAUGCAUUUGCGUGUGCGCACACACACACAUCCCAAAUGAUUUUUUCCCACUAUAUAUGAAGAACUCCUACAAACCAAAAAGAAAAAGGCAGACAAUUCAAGAGAAAAAUGGGGGAGGGCUUGCAUUAAAGUACUUCAUAACAAGAGUACUUAGGAGGCCAACAAAUACACGAAAAGCUGCUAGCUUCAUGACUCAUGGGGGUGGCUUGGUCAGUUCAGGAUACUGUAACAAAAUACCUUAGACUGGGAAAUUUAUAAACAACGGAAUUUAUUGCUCACAGUUCUGGAGGCUGGGAAGUCCAAGAUCAAGGCAGCAGUAGAUCCGGUGCCUGAGCCCGUUCCCUGCUUCAAACAUGGCACCUUCUUGCUGUAUCCUCACAUGGUGGAAGGGGGAAGACAGUUCUCUGGGGCCUCUUUUAUAAGGGCAGUUAUCCAAUUCACAAGGAUAGAGCCCUCAUGACCUAAUCACCUUUCAAAGAUCCCCAUCUUCUAACACCUUCUAACACCAUCACCUUGGUGAUUAGGUCUUUUUGUUGUUGUUGUUGUUGAGAUGGACUCUCACUCUGUUGCCUAGGCUGGAGUGCAGUGGCGUAAUCUUGGUUCACUGCAACCUCUGCCUCCCGGGCUGAAGUGAUUAUCCUGUCUCAGCCUCCCAAGUGGCUGGGAUUACAGGCGUGUGCCACCAUGCCCGGCUAAUUUUCAUAUUUUUAGUAGAGACAGGGUUUCACCAUGUUGGUCAGGCUGGUCUCGAACUCCUGACCUCAUGAUCCGCCCACUUCGUCCUCCCAAAAUGCUGGGAUUACAGGCAUGAGCCACUGCACCCAGCCGAUUAAGUCUUAACGUAUGAGUUUUUGGGAGAAACUCAAACAUUCGGACAAUAGCAAGGAGAAUACAAAACCACAGUGAGCUACCGCUUCAGACACCAGAGAAGUUUAAGUGAAAAAGACUGGCAAUACCAAGUGCUGAUGAGGAUAUGGAGCAACCAGAACUCUCAGACAUUGCUGAUGGGAAUCUAAAUUAGUAUAACCACCACGAAAGCAUCCGUAAGGUUUAAUUGUGUUGAACACACCCUGCCCUCUGACCAAGCAUUUCCACUCCUGGGCAUACAGGCAAAAGAAAUGCAUCCACGUGUUCAUCAAAAGAUGUAACCUGUGCCAGGUGAGGUGGUUCAUGCCUGUAAUCCCAGCACAUCGGGAGGCCAAGGAGGGAGGAUUGCUUGAGCCCAGAAGUUCGAGAGCAGCCUAGGCAACAAGGCAAAACCUCGUCUCUACUAAAAAGUAGCCAGGCAUGAUGGUAUAUGCCUGUAGUCCCAGCUACUCAGGAGGCCAAGGCAUGCAGAUUGAUUGAACCCGGAAGGUGGAGGCUACAGUGAAUUGUGAUCUCGCCACUGCACUCCAGCCUGGGUGACAGAGCAAGAUCUUGUCUCAAUUAAAAAAAAAGGAAGAAAGAAAGACAUAACCUGGAAUAUUCACACCAACACUAUUCAGGAUAGCCCUAAACUGGAAAGAAUCUGAAUAUCCUCCGGCUUUAGAACAGAGAGAAAUUAUAGACUAUUCAUUCAUACAGGGGAUGAUUGAUCAGCUUUAAGAAUAAACAAACCGUACACAACAAUAUAGAUGAAUCUACAACCUUAAUGUGCAAAAUAGUUCACAUAUAUAAAGGACAAAAACAGGCAAAACUACUCCAUGGUGUUAGAAAUAGGGGUAGAGGUUACCCUCAUGCGGCAGGAGGGUUAGUGAUAGGGGAUUUGGAAGAGGAGGAGCCCAAUGGACUGAACAGCUGAGCUGGAAACAGCAAUUUGUUCCUUAAAGUUCUGAACCCAACUGUUAUCCAGCAUGGAGUCUGUCUGGAGAGGCCAGAUGUGGGGCCUCUCACAGGGGAAUGAGAAGUGCCUCUCAGGGUCCCACCCAUGAUCCCCCUUUCCUUGCCCACACAACCACCAACUGGCAAGUAGUAACCCAGGACCUGUAGCCCCCACUGGCUUGACACAGAGCAUAAUGCAAGCUUUUCCUGCUCCAGGUCCUGGACACCACUUUGCCCUUUGCCCCACACGUACAGCCCCCUGACCAAAAGCUGGGUACUCUGGCUUGACUAGAGGGAGCUAGACUCCAGGAAUAAGUAAGGAGCUGGGCUUCCACGCUAGAGAACAAGAGCUUCUCUGGGGAAAGGGGCUUCCCAUGAAGCCCUGGGGCACUGGGAGAUUAAUGGGCAGACCUCUGGCCUCAGCUUCCAGGGAAGGGGAGGGUGUGGGCCAACAUGCGGUGGCUACACUGACCACAAGCCGAUGACCCCAGCCAGCCUCAGGAUGUCUCAGCUCUAGGCAUGGUUUUUCGUUUUGUUUUGUCGUGUUUUGUUUUUGAGAUGGAACCUCGCUCUGUCGCCUAGGCUGGAGUGAAGUGGCACCAUCUCGUCUCCCUGCAACCUCCACCUCCUGGGUUCAAGCGAUUCUCCUGCCUCAGCCUCCUGAGUAGCUGAGAUUACAUGUGCGUGCCACCUUGCCCAGCUAAUUUUUGUAUUUUUAGUAGAGAUAGGGUUUCAUCAUGUUAGCUAGGCUGGUCUCAAACUCCUGACCUCAAGUGAUCUGCCUGCCUCAGCCUCCCAAAGUGCAAGGAUUACAGGCAUGAGCCACCAUGCCCGGCAUAGGCAUGGUUUUGACAAUCUGUCUCUUUGUGCCCUGGCUCCUUCUCCAACUCCUCUUUGGAGGAGGCACAGGAGGAGGGGUCAUUUCACUGUUCCUGAAAAGUAGACAUAUAACCUACAUGCAACUGCCAGGUGAUAAGGGCCCCAUCUGUCUGGCAUGACGUUGGAGGUCCACAAAGGCUGAUUAGAUGAAUGCUCAGCUCUGGGGCCUCCCCACAGAGCUCACAGACAGGCGUGAAGGAAAGCAGGACUCUUAUUAGAAUAUGUUCAGAGUUUUCACUGAAGAAGCCUCCUGUGUGGGCCAGGCACUGUGCUCAGUGCUUUGAUUCACAGUCUCAUUUAAUUCUCACCAUUUACAGACAAGAAUUCAGCUAAGAUCCUUUUCAAUCAAGUCUGGCAAUAUCUGCCUUUCAAUGGCAGUGCCUAGUCCUUUCAUAUGUAAUAUACUUAUCAUUAUGGGUGGGUUUAAGUUUUAUCAUCUUGCUAUUUGUUAUCUAUUUGUCCCCCCUCUUUUGUUCCUCCUUUACUGCCUUCUAUUUGGUUGAGACUUAAUAAAAUAUUUUAUUCCAUCUUCUCUACUUACUUUUUAGCUAUGCCUCCUUAUAUUUUUGGUUGCUGGAGUGUUACAAUAUGCAUUCUUCAAUAUCCAGUCUACUUUCCAAUAAUAUUACACCACUUCAUGUAUAACGUAAGAACGUUACAAAAAUAUAAUGCCAGGGCUGGGCGCAGUGGCUCACGCCUGUAAUCCCAGCACUUUGGGAGGUCGAGGCGGGCAGCUCACCUGAGGUCAGGAGUUCGAGACCAGCCUGACCAACAUGGAGGAACCCCAUCUCUACUAAAAAUACAAAAUUAGCCGGGCAUGGUGGCUCAUGCCUGUAAUCCCAGCUACUCAGGAGGCUGAGGCAGGAGAGUUGCUUGAACCGGGGAGGUGGAAGUUGCAAUGAGCCAAGAUUGCGCCGUUGCAC